CUCAUUGACCUUGACUCCCUUAUAGAGCUGGACCUGCGAGGCAAUGCCUUUGAAUGUGACUGCAGAGCCAAGUGGCUUAUGACGUGGUUAAAGAACACCAAUGCCACAGUGUCGGAUGUUGUGUGUGCUGGACCAGAGGACAUGAAGGGCAAGCGCCUCAAUGAUAUGACCAGCCUGCAGAAUGAGUGUGUCUCCACAGAUUUCAUCCUUCAUCAGUCUGU